CACGUAGGGUGCGAGCGUUGUCCAGAAUUAUUGGGCGUAAAGAGCUCGUAGGCGGUGUGUCGCGUCGGCCGUGAAAACCUGCAGCUUAACUGUGGGCUUGCGGUCGAUACGGGCAUCACUGGAGUUCGGCAGGGGAGACUGGAAUUCCUGGUGUAGCGGUGAAAUGCGCAGAUAUCGGGAGGAACACCAGUGGCGAAGGCGACUACCUGGCCUGUUCUUGACGCUGAGGCGCGAAAGCUAGGGGAGCAAACGGGG
rnacentral:rRNA from 1 species